UGGAGAAAAAAAACUUUAUUGGUAUUACAGCAAAAAAUUCACAUAAGAUACAUAAAUUAUGAUACCUCAAAGCUAGACGCAAAUAAAAUACACCUAAUUAUACAAAUUCUAUACAAUUAAAUCAAGAACAUUAGGAAAAUUUUUUUGCAAAAAUGUCAAAAAAAGAUUUGAUCUGGUCGGGUAUAGUGGCUCACACCUGUAAUCCCAGCACUUUGGGAGGCCAAGGCAACAUAGUGAGACCUCUGAAAAAAAAAGAAAAAAGAAAGAAGAUAAAUAGUAAUUAAAUAAAAAGGAAAAAAAAAGAGCUUCAAAACAGGCUCAGAUUUUUAAAUCAUUUUAUAUAUUUCUAAUCCACUCUAAUUUAUUCCCAAGUGAGGUAACACUCAAUGUUGGCUAUGAGUAUUCUAUCGAUAAAUCUAAUGUAGGUAU
ensembl:lncRNA novel transcript